rnacentral:rRNA from 1 species
GACGAACGCUGGCGGCGUGCCUAAUACAUGCAAGUAGAACGCUGAAGAGAGGAGCUUGCUCUUCUUGGAUGAGUUGCGAACGGGUGAGUAACGCGUAGGUAACCUGCCUUGUAGCGGGGGAUAACUAUUGGAAACGAUAGCUAAUACCGCAUAACAAUGGAUGACACAUGUCAUUUAUUUGAAAGGGGCAAUUGCUCCACUACAAGAUGGACCUGCGUUGUAUUAGCUAGUAGGUGAGGUAACGGCUCACCUAGGCGACGAUACAUAGCCGACCUGAGAGGGUGAUCGGCCACACUGGGACUGAGACACGGCCCAGACUCCUACGGGAGGCAGCAGUAGGGAAUCUUCGGCAAUGGGGGCAACCCUGACCGAGCAACGCCGCGUGAGUGAAGAAGGUUUUCGGAUCGUAAAGCUCUGUUGUAAGUCAAGAACGAGUAUGAGAGUGGAAAGUUCACACUGUGACGGUAGCUUACCAGAAAGGGACGGCUAACUACGUG